UAGGGAAUAUUGCGCAAUGGGCGAAAGCCUGACGCAGCAACACCGCGUGUAUGAUGACGCCCUUCUUGGGUGUAAAAUACUGUCAGAGGGGACGAAAAUUGACUGUACCCUCAGAGGAAGCAUCGGCUAACUCCGUGCCAGCAGCCGCGGUAAGACGGAGGAUGCGAGCGUUGUCCGGAAUCAUUGGGCGUAAAGAGUUCGUAGGCGGCAUGUCAAGUCUGGUGUCAAAGCCCGGAGCUUAACUCCGGUUCGGCACUGGAAACUGGCAAGCUAGAGCAUAGUAGAGGCAAGGGGAAUUCCCAGUGUAGCGGUGAAAUGCGUAGAUAUUGGGAGGAACACCAGUGGCGUAAGCGCCUUGCUGGGCUAUUGCUGACGCUGAGGAACGAAAGCCAGGGGAGCG
rnacentral:rRNA from 1 species